GAUGAACGCUGGCGGCGUGCCUAAUACAUGCAAGUCGAGCGAACAGACGAGGAGCUUGCUCCUCUGACGUUAGCGGCGGACGGGUGAGUAACACGUGGAUAACCUACCUAUUAGACUGGGAUAACUUCGGGGAACAGGAGCUACUACCGGCUAAUAUAUUGAACCGCAUGGUUCAAUAGUGAAAGACGGUUUUGCUGUCACUUAUAGAUGGAUCCGCGCCGCAUUAGCUAGUUGGUAAGGUAACGGCUUACCAAGGCAACGAUGCGUAGCCGACCUGAGAGGGUGAUCGGCCACACUGGAACUGAGACACGGUCCAGACUCCUACGGGAGGCAGCAGUAGGGAAUCUUCCGCAAUGGGCGAAAGCUUGACGGAGCAACGCCGCGUGAGUGAUGAAGGUCUUCGGAUCGUAAAACUCUGUUAUUAGGGAAGAACAAAUGUGUAAGUAACUAUGCACGUCUUGACGGUACCUAAACAGAAAGCCACGGCUAACUACGUG
rnacentral:rRNA from 1 species